GUUCCUGUCCAACGUUAAUCGGGGCAGGGUGAGUCGACCCCUAAGGCGAGGCCGAAAGGCGUAGUCGAUGGGAAACGGGUUAAUAUUCCCGUACUUGGUGUUACUGCGAAGGGGGGACGGAGAAGGCUAUGUUGGCCGGGCGACGGUUGUCCCGGUUUAAGCGUGUAGGUGUGUGUUCCAGGUAAAUCCGGUUCACUUUAACACUGAGGCGUGAUGACGAGGCACUACGGUGCUGAAGCAACAAAUGCCCUGCUUCCAGGAAAAGCCUCUAAGCAUCAGGUAACAUCAAAUCGUACCCCAAACCGACACAGGUGGUCAGGUAGAGAAUACCAAGGCGCUUGAGAGAACUCGGGUGAAGGAACUAGGCAAAAUGGUGCCGUAACUUCGGGAGAAGGCACGCUGACACGUAGGUGAAGUGAUUUACUCAUGGAGCUGAAGUCAGUCGAAGAUACCAGCUGGCUGCAACUGUUUAUUAAAAACACAGCACUGUGCAAACACGAAAGUGGACGUAUACGGUGUGACGCCUGCCCGGUGCCGGAAGGUUAAUUGAUGGGGUCAGCGCAAGCGAAGCUCCUGAUCGAAGCCCCGGUAAACGGCGGCCGUAACUAUAACGGUCCUAAGGUAGCGAAAUUCCUUGUCGGGUAAGUUCCGACCUGCACGAAUGGCGUAAUGAUGGCCAGGCUGUCUCCACCCGAGACUCAGUGAAAUUGAACUCGCUGUGAAGAUGCAGUGUACCCGCGGCAAGACGGAAAGACCCCGUGAACCUUUACUAUAGCUUGACACUGAACAUUGAGCCUUGAUGUGUAGGAUAGGUGGGAGGCUUUGAAGUGUGGACGCCAGUCUGCAUGGAGCCGACCUUGAAAUACCACCCUUUAAUGUUUGAUGUUCUAACGUGGACCCGUGAUCCGGGUUGCGGACAGUGUCUGGUGGGUAGUUUGACUGGGGCGGUCUCCUCCUAAAGAGUAACGGAGGAGCACGAAGGUUGGCUAAUCCUGGUCGGACAUCAGGAGGUUAGUGCAAUGGCAUAAGCCAGCUUGACUGCGAGCGUGACGGCGCGAGCAGGUGCGAAAGCAGGUCAUAGUGAUCCGGUGGUUCUGAAUGGAAGGGCCAUCGCUCAACGGAUAAAAGGUACUCCGGGGAUAACAGGCUGAUACCGCCCAAGAGUUCAUAUCGACGGCGGUGUUUGGCACCUCGAUGUCGGCUCAUCACAUCCUGGGGCUGAAGUAGGUCCCAAGGGUAUGGCUGUUCGCCAUUUAAAGUGGUACGCGAGCUGGGUUUAGAACGUCGUGAGACAGUUCGGUCCCUAUCUGCCGUGGGCGCUGGAGAACUGAGGGGGGCUGCUCCUAGUACGAGAGGACCGGAGUGGACGCAUCACUGGUGUUCGGGUUGUCAUGCCAAUGGCACUGCCCGGUAGCUAAAUGCGGAAGAGAUAAGUGCUGAAAGCAUCUAAGCACGAAACUUGCCCCGA
rnacentral:rRNA from 1 species